AUAAAUUAACAGUGCAGGAUCGUUAACUAAAAAUUGGAGAUCGUUACCAAGCAUAACUCAAGUAUUUCAAACUGAAACUAAAUGACAGACUUCUCAGUGAAUAAGUUAUAUAUGCCGUUUCAGGAAAUCCAACAUUCAUCUUCUCCCAUACUUAAAGGACAUCUACUUUUCUACGUGCCUCACUUUCUCAUGAUAAGUGUGGAUAUAUAAGCAAUAUAUACAACUGCUCGAUUGUCACAACAUAAGAGUUGGAAUUGGAAAAAUGAUAACAUUAUGCAAAAGAUAUAAUAGGCAAGGUAAUUCAAUGGGAUUUCUUGAUAAAAAGUAAAAUUUCAAAGAAAACAUGGUUACAUGUACUGCAUCUUCAAUGUGAGUCCAGUGUCCACACAUGUGGCCUAGUAAGCUUCUACAUAGGCCUGAUAGUGUAAGGAUGAAGUUACCCUAGCCAAUUGUGCAUUUCAAAUAUCUGAGCAGAUAAUAGACUGUAUCAAGAUGAAGAUUAAUAGUCAAAUAGUCAACUCAAGAUUGAGUAUUGAGUACAUUGGUCAACUCAAGAUUAUUGAGUACAUUGUUCAACUUUUUGAAACUAAAUUAAGAGGAACAAAUGUCAGAAAAUGGGAAUUCAAUACAACUUAGAGUGUGGUGAGCACGACACAAAUGAUGACCAUGAACAUCAUCAGUUUUCCUCAAAGACCACCUGCCAUCCUUAAUGAUGAAGUACUCGACAAAUAAAAUAAUGGAAUAGAAGUUUACAGCUAUGACUUUAUAGAAAUCAAUUUUAACUUGAACAAAGGAAGGGAAAACAAAUCAUGAAAAAUCAAUUCGCCAAGAACAUGUGUAGAAAUAACAAGUCUUAAAAUAAGAACUAUAGCUUUAGUUGUAAAGUAACAAACAAAUUGGUCUAAUAUUUAAAAAAUUUGGUAAAAUGAUGCAUUCAAAAAUAUAUAGGUUCCGUUGCCAAAGCAAUUAGGAUCAAAAAAGGAAAGUCUGCAGAUUAAGCAAAAACUGCAGCGCUACAGAAGAAGGAUCUUGCUCUUUCAAGAAGAAAAGAAAAAAAAAAAGAAGGAUCUUGGGUCUCCAAGCUGAACUUGGAUGCAAAAGAUAGUUGGGUGAAGAGCACUGAUAUGUGUUGCUGAUACUUAGCUGAAGUAAUAUGGAGGAACAGAUUCCAAAUUCUAAGUCACAGGGACAUCGGAAAUUUUUGCAAGCACUUGUUUGACUGAACGUUCUUUGAAUUUGGGUUUGAACCCGAGGUGGUUGCUAUGAGUUUUGAUAUAAUCAUUCUUCACUAACUUUGAUUAGAAGAUAGCAAAAGUCAGUUAAUUCUUAGCAGAUGAGGAAAGAGCACACUCAACCUCUUUGUUACUCCUUUUGAAUUGGCCUAGAACCCAUCAACGGUAAUUGAUCACUAACAUGGUAAAUAGAAUCAUUCAAGCCUAUUGACUUUGUUUGGUAAAUUAUUGCGGAUAGAUGAUAAGCUAUAAGCUAGCUUAUAGCUAAUAACGGAUAAGCUAGCUGAUUGAAUUUGUAGUGUUUAGUAAAAUUAUCGGUUGAAGUAUCUUAAAAAAUAUGAAAUGACAAAUAAAGGUAUAUUUAAUUAAUAUUUAUUUUUUCGAUUAAGAUUGCAUGGGUAAAAUUGAGAUAAAAGUUAUAAGCCAUAAGCUACUGGAAUUAGCUUAUCAAAACAAGCUAUAAGCUCAUAAAAAUAAGCUAUAAGAUUGUGAGAAACUUGCAGAUAUCAAACACGUGUCUUACCAAAUGGACCCUAAUGAGUAAUGGCUUGAUUCGGCCAGCAAGAACAAGUACUAUGUUCCCCUUCCCCUCAAAUAGACUCUAGUAAUUAUGAGUUAAUCAAGAUAUGUUAACAAAUAGAAAAUUAAAGAGCUAACCUGGAAUCAGGCAUAGAAAUCCAGUUCCAAUAGCG
rnacentral:lncRNA from 1 species